UGAGGAAUAUUGGUCAAUGGGCGAGAGCCUGAACCAGCCAAGUCGCGUGAGGGAAGACGGUCCUAUGGAUUGUAAACCUCUUUUGUCGGGGAGCAAAGAGAUCUCGUGAGGUCAGAAGUGAGAGUACCCGAAGAAAAAGCAUCGGCUAACUCCGUGCCAGCAGCCGCGGUAAUACGGAGGAUGCGAGCGUUAUCCGGAUUUAUUGGGUUUAAAGGGUGCGUAGGCGGGCUGUUAAGUCAGCGGUUAAACUGCGGAGCUCAACUCCGUAUUGCCGUUGAAACUGUCGGUCUUGAGUGAGCGAGAAGUAUGCGGAAUGCGUGGUGUAGCGGUGAAAUGCAUAGAUAUCACGCAGAACUCCGAUUGCGAAGGCAGCAUACCGGCGCUCAACUGACGCUGAAGCACGAAAGCGUGGGUAUCGAACAGG
rnacentral:rRNA from 1 species